rnacentral:rRNA from 1 species
UACGUAGGUGGCAAGCGUUGUCCGGAUUUACUGGGCGUAAAGAGCGCGCAGGCGGCUGGUCAAGUCCGAUGUGAAAUCUCCCGGCUCAACUGGGAAACUGCAUCGGAAACUGAUCGGCUUGAAGAUGGGAGAGGGUAGUGGAAUUCCCGGUGUAGUGGUGAAAUGCGUAGAUAUCGGGAGGAACACCAGUGGCGAAGGCGACUACCUGGCCCAUUCUUGACGCUGAGGCGCGAAAGCUAGGGGAGCAAACGGG